rnacentral:rRNA from 1 species
CUGGCUCAGACGAACGCUGGCGGCGUGCCUAACACAUGCAAGUCGUACGCGAAAGGGGCUUCGGCCCUGAGUAAAGUGGCGCACGGGUGAGUAACACGUGGAUAAUCUGCCCGGUGAUCAGGGAUAACAUUCCGAAAGGAAUGCUAAUACCGGAUAAGCCCACGCAUCCUUCGGGGUGAGCGGGAAAAGGUGGGGACCUUCGGGCCUACUGUCACUGGAUGAGUCCGCGUCCCAUUAGCUAGUUGGUGGGGUAAUGGCCUACCAAGGCGACGGAUGGGUAGCUGGUCUGAGAGGAUGAUCAGCCACACUGGAACUGAGACACGGUCCAGACUCCUACGGGAGGCAGCAGUGGGGAAUUUUGCGCAAUGGGCGAGAGCCUGACGCAGCAACGCCGCGUGAGUGAUGAAGGCCUUCGGGUCGUAAAGCUCUGUCAGAGGGAAAGAACAACCUGCCGGUUAAUACCCGGCGGGCCUGACGGUACCCUCAAAGGAAGCACCGGCUAACUCCGUGCCAGCAGCCGC